UACGAAGGGGGCUAGCGUUGCUCGGAAUCACUGGGCGUAAAGGGUGCGUAGGCGGGUCUUUAAGUCAGGGGGGAAAUCCUGGAGCUCAACUCCAGAACUGCCUUUGAUACUGAGGAUCUUGAGUUCGGGAGAGGUGAGUGGAACUGCGAGUGUAGAGGUGAAAUUCGUAGAUAUUCGCAAGAACACCAGUGGCGAAGGCGGCUCACUGGCCCGGAACUGACGCUGAGACGCGAAAGCGUGGGGAGCAAACAGG
rnacentral:rRNA from 1 species